rnacentral:rRNA from 1 species
GUGGGGAAUAUUGGGCAAUGGGCGCAAGCCUGACCCAGCAACGCCGCGUGAAGGAAGAAGGCCCUCGGGUUGUAAACUUCUUUUAUUCGAGACGAAACAAAUGACGGUACCGAAUGAAUAAGCCACGGCUAACUACGUGCCAGCAGCCGCGGUAAUACGUAGGUGGCAAGCGUUAUCCGGAUUUACUGGGUGUAAAGGGCGUGUAGGCGGGACUGCAAGUCAGAUGUGAAAUUCCAGGGCUCAACUCUGGACCUGCAUUUGAAACUGUAGUUCUUGAGUGAUGGAGAGGCAGGCGGAAUUCCGAGUGUAGCGGUGAAAUGCGUAGAUAUUCGGAGGAACACCAGUGGCGAAGGCGGCCUGCUGGACAUUAACUGACGCUGAGGCGCGAAAGCGUGGGGAGCAAACAGG